UGGGGAAUAUUGGACAAUGGGGGCAACCCUGAUCCAGCCAUGCCGCGUGAGUGAUGAAGGCCCUUCGGGUUGUAAAGCUCUUUUGGCGGGGACGAUGAUGACGGUACCCGCAGAAUAAGCCCCGGCUAACUUCGUGCCAGCAGCCGCGGUAAGACGAAGGGGGCUAGCGUUGUUCGGAAUUACUGGGCGUAAAGCGAGUGUAGGCGGUUGCCGUAGUCAGGUGUGAAAGCCUUGAGCUCAACUCAAGAAAUGCACUUGAUACUGGGUGACUAGAGGACCGGAGAGGAUAGUGGAAUUCCCAGUGUAGUGGUGAAAUACGUAGAGAUUGGGAAGAACACCAGUGGCGAAGGCGGCUAUCUGGACGGUUACUGACGCUAAGACUCGAAAGCGUGGGGAGCAAACAGGAUUAGAUACCCUGGUAGUCCACGCCGUAAACGAUGGGUGCUAGACGUUGGCGAGCUUGCUCGUCAGUGUCGCAGCUAACGCG
rnacentral:rRNA from 1 species